rnacentral:lncRNA from 1 species
AGCAAGUUAAUUAAUUAUGACAGCUUUGUGGUGACGACUUCCAAAAUAUUGUAUUACAUGCGCGGGAGGAUCUUGUUAUAGAAGUUUCAAAAAUAUUACAUGUAUCAUUCCACCCCAACGUGUUACGUGUCAAUUUAUUAGUGUUUAUAUUUCAAGUUUUAUUUAAGUUUUCUAUUAUCCAAAAUCCAUGUAAAUAAGUUUCAUAAGACAAAUAAUUGAAGUGAUAUGGAGGUCGUUCAUAUAUAUGGAGAUGAAUAAAAUAAGAGGUGAAGUAGAGACUCUUACCUUGAAAAGGAAGCUGGCCAUUCUCAAUGAGCUUGGGGAGACAAAGACAAGUCCACAGGUAACGAGGACAAGGAACGUUAAAACUUAGAAUGGGCAGCCCCAGCUCCUCCGCCACAUCAAACGCAAAAGUCACGAGCCCAUCUGUCAUGAUACAGCUCGGAGGCGGCACCAGAGUAUCAUUCGAUUCGGCCUUAAGCGAAAUGGUUUUGAGCAGCUCCCGGAAAUGAGGCCUAAUGGACGUCUUCAACGCAAUCAACAACUGGCUAUUCAGGGUACGGGGGUCAUCCUCGGGGAGGCCAUCGGAGAUGGACUCGAAAUGGAGGGUGGGGAAAUGAGUCGAGAGGGCUUGGCGGUUGGCCAAGCGCUGGUGGUUGUGGUGAGUGUUGACAUAGGUGACAUGAAGGCCUGCAUGGCAGAGAAGCUCGGCUAAGCAUAGCAAGGGCUUCAUGUGACCUUGGAGUGGGAAGGGAAAGAUGAUUACGUGAGGUUGCUUCAUUGCCAUUGAGUUAAUAUUUUAGCUAGGUUUUCUUGCUCUUAGGGCUUUCUUAAUUGUAAGUUAUAUCAACCUAUUAGAGAAGGGUUGGUAUAUAUAGAAUCUGGAAAUGGCAUAUAAAAUUGCAAGGCGUUGAAAAUGUAAACAUAAACUAAGGCCAUCUCCAGUCAUAUGGCUAAAUGUAGUUCAGGAUUAAAAAUUUAGCCUCCAAAAUAUUAAUUUUUUAAAGAAUAGUGCAUGGUUAAAUUUUUCCAUCUCCAGCCAUGCAGGGGUAUAUUUUAGGGUCCUUCAUAUUUUAUUAUUGUGAGAAAAACUAUAGUAUAACACUCAUACAUUCAACAACUAUAUAUUGUUUAAUUUAAUUAAACUACAAUUUAGAGACAAUAUUUCAUAUUUAAUUAAACUACUAUUUAGAGAUAAUUUUUUAUAAUUUUUUUUAAACAACACUUGAAAACAUUUAAAAAGGUGACCAUAUUUAUUUUUAUUUUUUAAAGAAAAAAAAAGAAUGGGUUUCAAUGGUCUGACCAUAACGGUCAUGACCAAUAAUAUUUUAUACUUUUGUCUUCAACAAUAUGAAUUGAAACAUUUAAAAAGGCUGUUAAAAAAUAUAUAUAUCCAACUAUGCAUUAACGUGUUUUACUGUUGGCCGUUGAAAAGCAAAUGCAUGGGGCCCACUAAAAUUUGGUCUAGGCCAAAGCUGAGCUAUAUGUGGCCCAGUUGGAGGGCUAAGGAGCCAAAUGUGGCCCUCUAAAUUUGGCCGAAAUUUUGUUUAGCUCAUGACUAGAGAUGGAUUUUACAUUAUUUUAAGGCUAUAUUUAGGAUAUAGCCCAAAGCUAGAGAUGGCCUAAGAUGCCAAUAUAAGUCAUGCAUACGAACACAUAAUAUUAUACCUUGAAAUAAAAAUAAAAAUAGGUUCACGGAUGGCGGCCACCUUACAUGAUAUAUAUGGCAAUUCACGUGUACCCAAAAACAAAACAAGAAAAAAGAUACCGUGUCUCAGCUAUUUUUCUCAUCCAAUGAAAUUCAAGUUGAACCCUCCACCAAAAAAAAAAAAAGGAAAGAAAACUAAGAACAGAGGAUUAGCUUAUACAAUGAUGAAUUGGAAGUAAUAGUAAAUAUGAAGAUAUGAGACAAAAUUGAAUUUCACGUUGUUUCAAAGUCAACCGAUAUGGAGGCAAGAUCUAGUCCCUCUCAAUCAACAUAAUAUUCUUCUAAACGGAAAAAAUUCUUUCAGAAUAUAUCGUAUCGAAAACGUUGAAAAUAUAAAAUACACUAGUAUAAACACGUGAACAUAUAUAAUGAGUAAAAUAACAAAGGAAUUAAGAUAUUCUUCCUUUAAGUCUCAAUAAUGUAAUUGUUUUUGUCGUUUGCCAAAGGUCUCAAUGCAACACAUACAAGUUGGUGUGGAACUCUUCCACGCAUUCAUCUCCAUCUACCGAACUAUGGAACUAUCGAAACUGAUUCUUUCUAUACAUUAUUCAUACAAUUAAGAUCAAUUUGAAAGUAGCAUUCAUUUCUUAUUUGAACAAAUAUUCGAAUCUAAUGAGUUAUUCAAUUUAAUUUAAUCUUCGAUAUCAAACAUGAAUUAUGGAAUUUAUGUCGGUUACAAGCUUAUUAAUUGUGAGGUUGGAAAUCCAAACCAAUUAUUUGAUCCCAGACUCUGGGCAAUAUUGUUGUUGUUUCGAUCAAUAUACAAGGUUGGCUAUCAAAUAAGCUGGUAUUCUCAAACAAAAUGACUAAUAUACCAUGCAAUCAACCUAUUCCAAAGAAAUGACUAAUAUGUGCAGCAUUAAUUUUCCAUAGAGAUCCAGCUAUGUUUGGCAACUGGGAAUUUGAAGAGAAUCUUCUAAAUUCUUUUUCUUUUUUCUUUUUUUAUGAACUUCUUUUUUUUUAUUCCUCCACAAGAUGAGGAAACAUGGAAUAAAAUAGACCCCAAUUGCAAGUGGCAAUUACUUUUGGUUUUGGUACCAUAUAUAUAUAUAUAUAUAUAUAUAUAUAUAUAUAUAUAUAUGCUUGGCAAUUGACAUCAACAUCCAACGCUUGGGGAUCAUGCUGUGUAGUGUUUUUGCAUGCUACUUUUGGUAUGGUGGCUAUUUGACCCUCAAGUUCAAUCGCAUUGCUCGAAGCGAUAAUUUUUUUAUUUAUAAGAGAGAGAAGAGGGAUGUAUCACGGAGGAUUGUCGGAAUUUUUAUAAAUUUUUUUAUGACCAACUCAAAUAUUGUCAUGGUUACAAAACAAAAUAAUCGUUUUAUUUUUUAUUUUUUAAAACCUACCAUUACUUUGCAUACCCUUUUUUUUUUUUUUCGUUGCUCAAAUUUCUCUGCCUAUCAUUACUUUGGUACAGACACUUAUUAGGGCUGAUUAUAUAUGCAUGAUAAAUUAAGGAUGUUGUUAAACGAAUUUUAAAAUUAAUUGAAUACAUCUUAUGAUCUAAGUACACUCUAAUAUUUAAAUUAAAAUAUAAAAUUAACUAAGUAUACCCAAUUUAACUACUAAAAAUACUCCUGGUUCACCAUAAUAUACUCUAUCACACAACACCAAAUCCAUUUAAGAGCUGACUGCUGAACACUAUCAAACCACCAAACUCAUUUAAGAGUUGGCUACCGAAUACAAUAAUAAUACAGUAAAUAAAUAGAAUCAAGAAAGACAAAGAACAUCAACAGAGCUUCUAAACCGUUAUGGUGAAAUCAGAUGCUCUAGUGUCUCAUUAACUUGAUUCUAAACCGUUAUUUAAAUUGUUAUUACAGUCUUCAUGGAAACGGCACUUUAUUUAUUUUCAUAUUACUUAUGUGGAUUGUGCGCUUCCAAUAAUUUCCCAACACUAAUCAAGCUUAAGAUCUAAUUAACUAAAGUUUACUCGGCUAUUUUGUCACAAAGUAAUGAGAAGCAUAUAUAAAUUGCAUAGUGUACAAAACAAAAAAACUCAAGACACAAUUCUUGACAUCUAUUUAUUUUUAUUGGAAAUAAUAGUCAAUAGGAAGAAAUGACACAAAUUUGAGUUUCACAUGAUUUUGAAGUCAAUCAAUAUAUAAGCCAAUUCCAACUUCCAGCCACUCUCAAUCGACAUAAUAUGUUUUGUGCAUGAAGAAAAUUCUCUCAGAAUAUAUCGUUUGGAAAACCCUUAACCAGCAUUACCUAUAAAUAUUGUGGAAAAUAUUAUAGCCUUGCUAUAAUAAACAAGUCUCAAAGUAAUUUAUUUUGUCGUUUUCCAAGUCUCAAUGUAAUUAUUUUUGUCGUUUGCCAAAAGUGUAAAUGUGUAAGACAUACAAGUUUGUGUGGAAAUCGUCCACGCAUUAUUGCGGAAGCGAAGCCAUAGGGUGUAAAUUGACAGUUAAUCUUUCUUAUUAAUCUAGUCAAUUAUCAAAGCUCAUUUUUUGUUUAUGUUAUUCACACAUUAAGAUCAAUUACAUAAGUCAUGAAGGAAAAUUUGAAACUAAACAUUCAUUUGGUUGAAAACGAAUAUUAUUUCAAUCUAACGAGUUAUUCAAUUCAAUUUUAGACAGCAAAUAUGAACUUUGUAGAAUAUACUCUUUUAUAUAUUACGUUACAAGGUUAUUGAUUGUGAGGCUGGAAAUGUGAAGAGAAUCUUUUAAUUCCUCCACAAGAUAAGGAAACAUGGAAUAAAAAAAAAUCUAAUUGCAAUGAAUUUUGGUAUAUAUAUGCUUGACAAUUGACAUAAAACAAAAAACAAAAAAUCCAACACUUGGGGAUGUUGUAUAGUGUGUUUACAUGCCACUUUUGCUAUGGUGAUUGUGGAGGAUUGUCGGAAUUUUCAUAAAAAAAUUUAUGAACAACUCUUGUUGUGGUUACAAAACAACUAAUCCUUUUUUUCACCUACCAUUACUUUGCAUACCCUUUUAUUUUUGUGGUCAAAUUUCUCCGCUUACUAUUAGGUCAUGCAUGUAUGCAUGAGGCCUUUAAUAUCUGCAUGAUAAAUUGUGUUUACAUGUCUCUAGAUUUUGUCAAACAAAACAAUUUGUAGGAAGUUAGAAAACAGAUUAGUCGUUGUGGAAUUUGUUUUAAUCCCACAAAACAAUAAAACACCAACACCUACAAUUGAAGUUACAGAGAGCAAUUUGUGGGAAAGAGCUCGAUUGACCCCUUGCAUGCAUGUAUCACUUCACUUGUGGAUGAAAAUUUUGGAUUUUGGAUUGUUUAUUCAAGAAGCAAUGAUACACACACGAACAAGACAUAUAAACUUAAGCAAUCUACUUGAUACACAAAUUCUUUAUUAGGUCUUCAAUAAGUUUCUCCACGUUGUUGUACGAAGUACGAGCCAGCUUCACAAACAGCAUUCUGAGCCAAUUUUGCGAACCUCUCCACAGACUUGGGAAUGUGCUCACUUGCAUGAUCUUCCUCAAAUCCCUUACAUCAGACUUAUCCUUCAUAUCAAACCCAAUCUUCCAAACCUCAUCACCAAAUAUCACAACAAAUUAUUCCAAUGAAAAGUGAAAUAUAAUAUCACCAGCUAGCCAGCUAGCUAGUUCUGGUGUUGCAAAUUUCGAAUGUAUUCGAUCAGCUGCUCCAAGUUGUUGUGAGAAGAUCCACCUUCGGCAACACUGUCACGAGCCAAUUUCGAAAUGGCAUCCAUGGAGCUCUGGAUCUCCUCCCUUUUGGAUCCCAUCAAAGUUUGAACCAUGCUCUCAAUGUUGGACCGGUCACAAUUUUCAUUCAAUUGGAGACCAAUCUUCCACUGCCGGCAAACAGUUCUGCUAAUAAUAUAAUGGUCCCCCAAAUUCGGCCAACAGAUCAUGGGCAGCCCGGCCACAAUGCUUUCAAGCGUCGAGUUCCACCCACUGUGGGUCAAAAACCCACCUACCGAUUUGUGGGCUAGCACCUCCUCCUGCGAAACCCAAUCCACAAUGCACCCUCUUUCUUUCGUACCAUUUUCCAGCUCCGGGGGAAUUUGGUGGUCCCCAGAUGUGAUGUCGGACCUCAUGACCCAUAAAAACGGGUGUCCACUGUUGAUCAGACCGUACCAAAACUCUAUCACUUGGGCACGUGUCAAGUGAACCAAAGUCCCGAAGCUGACGUAGAUAACCGAUUUGGACGGCUGGGAGUCGAGCCACGUCAUGCAGUUUAGGUCGCUUUUCCAAAGAGAACCGUGGGAUGCUAGACCUCGAGACAUGUCACCUAUUUGGGAGUUGAGGAGAGCGUGGAGUGGUCCAAGGGUGUAAAUCUUGGGAAACAUGAGGGCCAUGUGGGAAAUGCAAGGGGUAUCGAGCUCAUAAACUGUGUCGAGAAUGAGAGCCGAUGCUCGUUUUAGGGUUUGGGUCUCGUUGAUAGCGAAUUGAAGAGAUGGGUGGUCAGCUUGUUUGACUCGGCAAAAACCUGGCAAGUCUUGGCGAUGCAAAAGGCCUUCCAUUCCGGGCACUCCCGUAAUUUCCACAUUCAUGUCAUCAUCUGUUUAGAACUCACAAAUCACAUAAUUUUUUUUUUAAAGCAAGUUAAUUAAUUAUGACAGCUUUGUGGUGACGACUUCCAAAAUAUUGUAUUACAUGCGCGGGAGGAUCUUGUUAUAGAAGUUUCAAAAAUAUUACAUGUAUCAUUUCACCCCAACGUGUUACGUGUCAAUUUAUUAGUAUUUAUAUUUCAAGUUUUAUUUAAGUUUUCUAUUAUCCAAAAUCCAUGUAAAUAAGUUUCAUAAGACAAAUAAUUGAAGUGAUAUGGAGGUCGUUCAUAUAUAUGGAGAUGAAUAAAAUAAGAGGUGAAGUAGAGACUCUUACCUUGAAAAGGAAGCUGGCCAUUCUCAAUGAGCUUGGGAAGACAAAGACAAGUCCACAGGUAACGAGGACAAGGAACGUUAAAACUUAGAAUGGGCAGCCCCAGCUCCUCCGCCACAUCAAAC